ACACCAGUGGUGUGUGGUACACGCGCCGGGCUAAUUCUCCAGGAUCAUGAAAUUACCACGGCGAGUCGGGGUUCGAUUCCCCGCUGGUGUA